UACGUAGGGUGCGAGCGUUGUCCGGAAUUAUUGGGCGUAAAGGGCGCGUAGGCGGCUCGGCACGUCCGUUGUGAAAUCGCCCGGCUCAACUGGGCGGGGUCAGCGGAUACGGCCGAGCUUGAGCAAGCUAGGGGGCAAUGGAAUUCCCGGUGUAGUGGUGGAAUGCGUAGAUAUCGGGAGGAACACCAGUGGCGAAGGCGGUUGCCUGGAGCUUUGCUGACGCUGAGGCGCGAAAGCGUGGGGAGCGAACAGG
rnacentral:rRNA from 1 species